rnacentral:lncRNA from 1 species
UGGGGUCUUGUCCUAGUGUGGGGUCUUCCCAGUUGACCAACUGGGGUCUUGUCCUAGUGUGGGGUCUUCCCAGUUGACCAACUGGGGUCUUGUCCCAACAUGGGGUCUUCCCAGUUGACCAACUGGGGUCUUGUACCAGUGUGCGGUCUUUCCCAGUUGACCAUCUGCGAUCUUCCCCCAGCAUCGGAUUAUCCCAGUUGACCAACUGGGGUUUUGCCCCAAUGCAGGGUCAUCCCAGUUGACCAACUGGGGUCUUGUCCCACCACAGGGUCUUCCCAGUUGACCCAACACAGGGUCUUCCCAGUUGAUCAACUGCGAUCUUCCCCCAGCAUGGGAUUAUCCCAGUUAACCAACUGGGGUCUUGCCCCAAUACAGGGUCAUCCCAGUUGACCAACUGGAGUCUUGUCCCAACAUGGGGUCUUUCUCAGUUGACCCAACACAGGGUCUUCCCAGUUGACCAACUGCGAUCUUCCCCCAGCAUGGGAUUAUCCCCAUUGACCAACUGGGAUCUUGUACCAGUGUGGGGUCUUCCCAGUUGACCAACUGUGGCGUCUUUUCCAAAUGGGGGUCUUCCCAGUUGACUAACUGGGGUCUUGUCCCAAGGCGGGUUCUUCCCAGUUGUCCAACUGGGGUCUUGUCCUAACGUGAGUUCUUCCCAGUCGACCCAACCCAAUCUUUGCAGUUGACCCAACCAGUCCAGGGGGACAUUUUGAGGCAAAUUAAGUGGGAUUUGGGGCAAAUAAGGGAGGCUUGGGACUGCCACUGGGGCCAUGGGGGAAAUUUGGGGGGCAAAAAAGGGGAAUUUGGGGCAAGUAAGUAGGAUUUGGGGCACACAGGGCUGUACUGGGGCCCAUAGGGAUGACUUGGGGCAAAUCUUGGGGAAUUUGGGGCUUCUGGGGCUGUCUGUUCAGACCCAGGAGACUCUGGGGCACAUGGGGACGCUGAAGGGCUCUGGGGCUGCAAUCUGGGGCAAAUAAUGGGGAAUUUGGGGCACAGAGCGGCACUCUGGGGUCCAGACAGCUGCAACCUGGGGCAAAUGGGGGGGGGGAAUAUCCAUAAUCCCCUCUGGGGACAAUGGAGACAGUCUGGGGUCCCUACAGCUGCAAUUUGGGGGGAAUUCAGUUGUUCUGACCUAACCACCCCAUCCCCGAAACGGAAAACCCCACGGCGGGGACGCACCGGGAGCGGCGUCGGGAGCUGUAGCGAUAACCUCGGUCCGGGGAAUAGGAGCGGGAGCGGCGGCGGCUGUCGCGCGAGCCCCCCCCCGAAUAACGGCGGCUGCGGGAGCGCGAGCGGGAAUAGCGGCGGCUGCGGGAGCGGCGGUAGCGGCCGGAGCGGUGGUAGGGGCCGGCGCGGUGCGAACGGGAGCUGGAGCGGGAGCUGGAGGACGAGGAGGAGGAGGGCGAGGAGGAGGAGGACGAAGAGCGGCGCCUGGAAGGGGGACGCGGGGUCAGAACCCGACGACGUGGCCCCAGAGAGCCUCCGGCAAGACAUGGCCCCAAAAGACCCUCAAGACCCAAUGGCGCAUCCCCAACGAGCCUCCGCUCGAGACCCUCAGCUCAAGACCCAGCCCCAAAGCCCCCCCACUCAAGACCCCACCCCAAAGAACCUCUACUCAAGACCCGGCCCCAACCAAAGACCCUCACGACACAGUGACACGUUCCAAAGGCUCCCACUCAAGACCCAAUGCCAUAACCCCACAGACCCCCGCAUGCAAGACCUUCUGCUCAAUACCCGGCCCCAAAGACCCAAUGCCACAGCCCCAAAAACCCAACACUCAAGGCCGUCUGCUAAAGACCCAAUCCCAAAGACGCUCUGCUCAAGACCCAGUACCACGACCCUGAAGACCCCCAAGUCAAGACUCAACACUGUGGCCCUGAAAACCCUCAAGACCCAACCCCAAAGCCCCUCCACUCAAGACUUGUCCCCAGAAGCCUUCAACUCAAGGCCCAACAUCACAUUCCCAAAGAACCCCCAAUCAAGACCCAGUGCCACGGCCCUGAAGAUCGUCCACUCAAGACCCAACCCUAAAGCCCCUCCACCCAAGACCCAGUGCCGCGGCCCCAAAGCCCCUGCACUCAACGCCCAACGCUGCGACCCCAAAUCCCCUCCCUCAAUCCUCGACCCCAUAGUGUUACCGACCGGGACGAGGCGCUAUGACCUGCGGUGGCACUGCCCGGCUGCCCGGCACCGCAGCGCGCUUUUCCCAGAGCGCCGGUUUUCCCGGGAACGCCGGCGGCGGAUUGAGCGGAGGCGGCUUCCUCGUCACUGCCCCCGAAGCUGGUGAUGAAGGUGAUCUUCUCCUCGUGGCCGGGGGAUGGGGAGCGGGACCGGGAGCGCGAUUCCGAGGUGGAUUCCGAGGGGGAGCUGCAGGGGGAGGAAAGGGUUGGGGGUGGUGGGAAUGGAGAGAGUUGGGAUCCCCUCUGGUUGGGGGGUG